AGGAAACAACAGAGGAACAAAAUUCAGACCUGAGUCCUGGUGGAAGUUCCAUGAUAUUAGUUCCACUGAAGCUUUUAUUUGAGACGUUGGCAAUUUUGCUCUUCAGAUCCCUGACACCAGCUGGAAUUUUCAGUUGUACACGGAGGUAUUGUAGAAUCCAUGGUCUUCAGUCAUUCCUUGAACUUCAGAAAAUUCACUCAGGUCUGGAAGAAGGAUAUGUUCCUUGAAGGGUGCCAGAUGGUGAAGGUACUGAGUCAACCACAUGGUGAAAUAGAACUGCUAGUAUUGUAUCAUCAUUUGCAAAACCCAGUAAAAACACUGACGUGUCAUUGCUGAAAUGUCAAAAAAGUGAACUAUCAAAAGACUGUUUAAACUAUAUCAAAUGUUACAUUUUAAUGAGAAUCAAAUUUCUUUUCUUCUUGCUUUUAAGUUAAGAUGAAUAACAGGUUUUGUUGUAAUAUAUUUAAGAAUACAUAAACAAAAACAAUUUUCAAAUUUAAAAGAAAGAAUUCCAGGUUAGCUUCACUUUCAAACAUGCAGUCCUUUGUUUACAAAAUUGAAUGGAAACUCUAAAUCAGAUUUACAGUUGAAACUGCAUUUCAUUUUCAACUGUGGAAUGGUCAUUGUCCUCUAUAUUUUAUUUCCCUUUACCAGUCCAUAAAAUGUGUUAACAAGCUACUCAUAAGAUUGUGCCAGUAAUAUGAAUGCUUUGCACAGUAUGUAUGGUAAAAUUUUAGUGGAUCACUGUGAAAUCCGUAAAGAAUAUUUGUACAUUGAUAUUCAUGAUUGGUUUAUGUUAUGGUACUUGGUGAACUCACUUCCAACUGAAGUUUCAGUGCAAAAAGAAGUUGCAGCAGAUAAAUUGUGUGACAAGUUCUUUGCAUGCACAAGAACUACUAAACAGUCUAUUCUUACUAGGGCUCAUCACUGUUGCAAUCCAUCCUGUAGGGGGUCAGUGCUAAAAUUAAAUUAUACCUGCCUACCAUUCUCAAUCUAAUCAGGCUAUAAACUGGAAAAUAAAACAAUUAAAAUUAGAGACAGGCCAGCCUCCCACUGUUUAUGAUCUCAUUCUAUUUGUGAAGAGUAGGUGGAAAUUCACCCGUGGUGAGCAUUUGGUUUAUGUCAAUUUUUCUUGUUAUUACAGCUGGGGCUUAUUUUGUGAACUGUUUUCAGCUAUUUCUGCUAAAAAUAGGUGGAUACCAAUUUAAACUUCCUGGCGAUAUUUCAAGUCAAAGUAUCAUUAGUAGAUAGUUAUUAUGCUGCAUUUUAUUGUAAGAGGUCCUGCCAUGAAGCCAAUCUAUACAAAUAUAAAUAAAGACAGUUAGAAUUACCUU
rnacentral:lncRNA from 7 species